GGACAGUGUACUUGUCCUCAUGAUUUCAACACCAAAUCGUAAAGAUCUUGUAUUUCCAAAGGGUGGGUGGGAAGACGAUGAGACUCUUGAUCAAGCUGCUUGUCGAGAGGCCUUGGAGGAAGCAGGAGUUACAGGACUACUUGGUGAAAAUCCACUAGGAGUUUGGGAGUUUCGAAGCAAGAGCAGCCAGAAUAGUAGCAGUUUGGUAGGAGGCUGUAAAGGCUAUAUGUUUGCACUGGAGGUAACCGACGAGCUUGACCACUGGCCAGGACAGGCUAGUUACAGUAGAAAAUGGCUUACCACAGAGGAAGCUUUCAAAUUCUGCCGGUAUGACUGGAUGAGAGAAGCUCUUAAAAAAUUUCAGGCAGGCCUCUCCAAGGACAACACUGUACACGUUAAAGAGGAAGAGCCGGCAGAGAGUCAAAUGGUGUCAUCAGGUUACUUUGUAAAGCCACCUGGUGUCCAGCACCUUGAANNNNAAGAAUCCUCUACCAAGCCUUGUUUAUUGACAAUCUAUAAUCAGUUGUUAAAGCUGUAGCUCAUAUUCCGAUUCUGUAAAAAGCUUGGACCAUUGUACAGCUC
rnacentral:misc_RNA from 1 species